AGGAGUUUCUGGAAGAGUCUUCAUGCUGAGAAGGCUUGACUGAUGUGUGUACUGCUGAGGUGUAUGCUGUGAGAUUUUGCUUCGAUGAGGUGGAGUUGGAUCUUGGUUGGGCUAAGCUGCUAAUACCCUCCUGCGAUGCACAUUGAAACAAAAUCUGGU